rnacentral:piRNA from 1 species
UGGGCUUGGAAUUUCAUAGGAGUGUUAUUC